AUUGAACGCUGGCGGCAUGCUUUACACAUGCAAGUCGGACGAGUGGCGAACGGGUGAGUAACGCAUCGGAACGUACCGAGUAAGGGGGGAUAACUGUACGAAAGGACAGCUAAUACCGCAUAUUAUUCGAGCGGCCGAUGUCUGAGUAGCUGGUUGGGGGGGUAAAGGCCCACCAAGGCGACGAUAAGUAGCGGGUCUGAGAGGAGGAAGCGCAACACGGGGACGGAGACACGGCCCAGACUCCUACGGGAGGCAGCAGUGGGGAAUUUUGGACAAUGGGCGCAAGCCUGAGCCAGCCAGGCCGCGGGUCUGAAGAAGGCCUUCGGGUUGUAAAGGACUUUUGUCAGGGAAGCGGUACCUGAAGAAUAAGCACCGGCUAACUACGUGCCAGCAGCCGCGGUAAUUC
rnacentral:rRNA from 1 species